AUAGCGCUUGUUAACCCACUCGAGCAAUCUAAAGGUUUUACUAUAGAAAUAUAUAGGGAAGCUGUACCAUUCUAUAUCGUUCUAUAGAUACGAGACUUGUUAUCACGAAAACUGUCAGGUCGGCUACUCAUGCGGAUCGGAUUUAACGUUACUUUACGUUAGCUGAGCUAAUAAUGCUGCUAGAUAGCUGUUAUCAAGACUUCAUUGAUAACAGAUGACUUUAAAUCGCACGACUCGCAUAAUCAAGCAAACAAAUAUUUUAUAUUCGACCCAGUGGGUUCUUUGAAGUUUCCGCGUACAAGAGUGACAAAUUUUAUUUUUUUUUACAUAAAAAUUUAAUCACACAGAUCGAGCUGUAUGCUUUGUAUAUGAUAAGCUUGGAUCGGGGCAGGUCAGGAUUUCAAGUGUUUCUGUCAAUUUGUUUCUAUACGUGUAAAGGGUUACUGUACUAAAUCAAAUAGUAUGGAGAUCAAUGUACGGAGGUGUGUAUGAAUGAAGAUAAUAAAAUGAUAAUAAUUAAUGAUCGUCUUGACGCGAGACAAAGUCCCUGAAAGAAAUUUAAGAAACCAGUAUGGAAUUCCCAUUAAACAAGGAUCCACCAUGGAAGCUGUAUUAUAUCAAAGCAUCACUUCUGAUUGUCACUUAACGAGAAAUCGCCUUUGGGCAAACUGUUACUGCAUCGCCAUCAAGUGUUGAGCCACACGCCUCCUCUUCAAUCUGCAAUCGUUGGACGAGCCUUGCGUCGACUUUUGGCAUGGGAUACUGAAUAAGCCGAGUCCACACGUAACGAAACAACUUUACGAGAGCGGAUAGUUGCGUUGAGGAUAUAAAGCAAGCGCUUCGCGUAUAACUUACAAUCAGCCAGGAGGAGUCUGGCUGACUCGUGUCUUCCCAUCAACUGCAGCGACCGUCUCCAGCAUCCGGACUGCAUCGAGUUUACCUUGGUCGCAUCAACGCUACGGGGUGCGAAUUGCAGGAACAAAACGAUGAGUUAAUUAAACUCGAUGAAGCGUCGACUGAGCUAUUAAAUCUGUACACUGAAGAUUCCUACGUGUGAGAAUCUUGAAUCUCGAAGCAAGCCUAUCGGCAGUGCUUUCAUUAGCGUAUCUUCGCUCCUGAUGCAUCUGCGUGACUGGUGCAGGUCGAGGCGUCCAGUUCACGAAGGAGAAAUAGUUAAUAUCAAGGAUAACGAAGAGCUUUAAUAAAGCACUGCCUUAAGGUGGUCGGUGUCGUUAAACGCGAGCGACGGACCUGUAAGUAGACAGAAGCAAAGCAACGAGUGAAGCGCGACAAUAGAUACGCGGCAGCGAGUACAAUGGUACAUUGUAAAUCAAGGCAUUUUAAAAAUCUGACAGGAUAUAUGUUGACUCGACCUCGUAUAUCGUAUCACACACGGGCGGCAGUGUUGCCCAUUAAAUACAGCAUUAUGCUACCCGACGACCGGCCAACUUCAGGCACGUAAUGGUAAUUGCUGGGAUGUAUAACGAGGACCAUUUUCGGCAAGUUGCCAUUCAGCCAAUCCACCUCCUACAAAUCCACUUUGUUUUCCUCUUUCUCAACUAGAGAUCCGCGUGAGAAUUCGCUAAGUUCUCGUUACCAAUCCUUAUCCAAGAUCUGAGAAGGGUCACUCGCCAAAGUUACGUCAAACAGCCCAUAGGAAUUUUAAAAAAAUGCUAAAUUCUACGAAACGGCCUAUGAAGAAUUCUGAGAAAACAAACAUACCUCUACCUCACGCAUGUUCAUCCCUCUUGAAUUUUCGCUCUCGCGUAAAGUACCGUCCCUUCCCUCCUUCUUCCCCUGAUCAAUCGUUCCUUCGUUACCUAUACCACGUAGGUUCUUUCGUUCCCGUGGAAAUUUUCACGAGCGCCCUGGAGCCAACGUCAUAAAUACACCCAUUGGCGCGGCCACUUGCAUAUUAUUAUUGACAGUUAAGAAUGAGGAGGGGCUCCUCACGAGGCUUUAGCCUACGAUGCAGCCCGCAAUUACGCAUAGUAAUAAAAUCCCACGGCCGUGGUCUAGCCAAUAAAUAGUAGAAUGCGAGCAUACAUGCAUAUAAAGAGUGGGAGAGAGGGAGAGACAGAGAGAGGCGGAAGGUGGAAGGUGGGAAAGAAGGUGCCGAGGAGUGGGUGUGUUAAGCUGCUAGGAUCUUAACUGCACAUGGACACGCGACAGACUCUCCUGCAAUUGCGUAAAAACUCGGAACAGUACACGGUACCCACUAAGUCUCUCGUCGCUUUAACAAUAAUAGGUAUACAUAUAUGCAUCCACGUAUGGUACGUAUACGUACCUAUCAAUUUGACAGAUAAACUUUUAAAGCUCUUUUUACAUCUUCCCAAGCUUUUUUUUCUACUUCUCGGAUCUUUAGACUCUUCGUAAAACUGCGUAUACGGGGACUCGGACAUUAGUGUGUAAACCAGUCAUUAGAGCAGCUGACCUAAACAGGAUACGCUUACCAAUUUCUAAUGCAGGUUAAUCGUAAAUCUAUCGGCGACAGCAUGACCAAAGUAGUCUGUAUAUCGGUGAUCAUAAGCGAGAGGUAGUUAAUGGCUGACUAAUAUAUGUAUACCGAUUAUUAACCGCGAUUGCGAUCGCCGAUUUAAUACGAAAUUAUUGAUAUAACGCUAACCAUGUAUCUCUAGUCUGUCGCAGUUUUGCUCUCGUUCUUUCGUUUGUGUUUAAAGUGCCUGCCGAGUUUAAAUCAAGUCAAUUCCGAAAUGAAGUUUACUGGGUUAAUUAACGAAGGGCGAGAGUUCCUCAGUGGGAACUACUGGGAAGUUAAUCCAACGCACUUUGUAAUCCAGGAUUCGCGGGAAAGUUGCCCUUUACGAAUCCGAACCCUGUCCUUACUGCUGUACGGCGUUUUAUCGCGAACAAAAUUGAACGCUAUAUCACCUUUGGCUGUGAAUAAAUUGUAAUAUCGAUUGAACGUAUUACGUAGAGGGAAGAUGAAAAUUGCUGCAGUAUCUUAUAAAUCUACAUUGUGAGAAACCCUGGAGGAGUUGCAAGUUAGAAAUCCUAACGCUAACAAGAGGUUACGUUUAGGGGGCAGUAAGCAGUAAUGUAUUCCAGUGGAGUAGUGAAGCAUGCAUAUUCGAGAUAUAUUAUAAAUAAUUACUCAAUUAUAUCUUUGGAAAGGUAAUGAAUAAAGAUGGCAGGGUUGCGGGAGAGGAGAGAGGGUGGGGCAGGCUAAUAAAAAAAAACUUGCGUUGAAUAUUCAAACGCAACAAACUAGGUACACGAACGUCGGAAGGGGUGCAGGAUGAGCUUAUUUCAAAUGGAGAUCCAUAUUACAACCACUCCUUAACCGAAGGAACUUCUGUUUUCGGAUUUACGAUUUUAACCCGAGACAUUCCUAUCUCAAUAGCGUAUAAGAUUUUCGGGAUAUUCUACAGGCAGGCGGUGUACCUAUAUAUACGGUGGCGAAACGCAAACCGAUUUCUCAUUCGAGCAAUUCAAUUUCUGGCAGGGAUUCGCAGAAAUUUAGCGAAACGAUUCGUCCUGCCCUCUCCCACCUCGAUAGGACGUACCCAUAAGUGGGGCCUGGUAUUUAUUUUAUAUAUUUCUCAUCGCCACUUUGUUCUGCCGGUUUACAGAAAAAUUCUCUCUUUAUUACGAUAUAAAUUUCUUCGGCGGACGCGAUAACUAUAAAAUAUUACGUAAAUGAUUGCCUCCGUGGACACUGGGCAGCCUUUGCCUCCUUUUCCGCGCAAGAUAAUACGCCGCGAAAUUUACGAGGCAUUAUUUUCGCCGCUGUAGAAAUCCGACUCUUCUCUGGGAUAGGCUGCUAUUUCUUGGUGCCGAGUGCCGUUGUACAGCGUGAAACGUCACAAAUUUGCGUGCGGACCUUCCCUACUACCGGUAGGAUAAAAAUGGAAAUAAAAAAAAAAAGAAAAAUAAAAGGAUUCUUUCACAAGGCUAUUUUGCCUCUCGUAGGUACUGUUAUUCUUGUGAAAAAAUCUACUCUCGAGAUUUUCGCGUUUUAUCGGGUAGACUGAAAAAUAAAUAUUUCAUCGCACCCUACUUCUCCUUCCUGGGACACUGCGAUAUUUUCAUAAGAUGGAAAACUAAGCGCGUUCGACGUUUCUGCCCGAGAGAUUUUCUGCAUGCAUAGGUCCCCUACGCCGGACAUGAUUGGCUUCUGAUAGAAUUACGAAGGGUGGACCCCCACCUAUCCACCCUUGUAUCCUUCCCGUCUUUCGGUCGGUAUAGGGAGGGUUCCACAUUGACUGGGAUGGGAGGAUCCAGUACAGAACAAAGACCACUCAACGACGAUACACUCAACCCUGCAGUAUCUUCGUAUCAAAUGAAACAAAAUUUAUUUUUUAUUAUCCCACCACACGGUAUCGGAGAAUCGAUGAAGGAUUUUUAAUGAUAAAAAAAUUUAUUAAAAAAUAAAAAAACAUUAAACCUACAAUAAGACGGACAACGUCGAAAAAAAAUAAUCUCGAGUAUAAUUGAAAGCUGGGGAAUUUGGAGAAAUAGAGAAAUACUAUGCGUAACGCAGUAAAGCCGUAGAGGGUUUGUAAGAUGGACUCGAUUUCUAUUCUACCGGAUGUGACAGACGGCAGGAACGUACCUAACACGGUAGAGCGAGGGUUCUCUUGACGAAUAGGGGUUGGCGAAAUUGAAAGACUCGAGCGGGCGUUUAUGCCAAUUUCCUUCGCCAUAAGUUCAUAAUUUUAUUGGCAAUUUGCGAGCCAUUACGCAGCCUGCCGCGCGCUCGCGACACACGCGCUACGAACUUAACGCGGGUUGCGCGCGUGCCCUGGUGUGCGUUUGCGUUACGUUCCGUUGGGUUGAGUUGCGUAGCGUCACUCGGUUUUAGGGUUAUGACCGAAAACGUAAUCUUCCUACGGAUGAAUUUACGAGUAGCAUUACGCUGAUUUGAUGACGCCAUCGAACGAAAGGUUUACCCUAUUCAUAUUCGUAUGUCUCCCUUUUACCAAUUACGAUCGAAAGGCCAACCGGUAUGCAAACCAAUCACCGGUCGCGCGUAAUCAUGACAACUGAUAACAAUUAUACGAAUUAAGGACGCAUUUUAUUCGAGUCCGGACGUCUCUCUGUAAUAAAAAAAAAC